UCACACAUCCCUGAGUGCCUACC
rnacentral:rRNA from 1 species